rnacentral:tRNA from 1 species
GGCGGUGUAGCUCAGGGGUUAGAGCAGUGGAAUCAUAAUCCAUGUGUCGGGUGUUCAAAUCACCCACCGCUACCA